rnacentral:rRNA from 1 species
UACAGAGGGUGCGAGCGUUAAUCGGAAUUACUGGGCGUAAAGCGUGCGUAGACGGUUAUUUAAGUCGGGUGUGAAAGCCCCGGGCUCAACCUGGGAAUUGCAUUCGAGACUGAAUAGCUAGGGUACGGUAGAGGGAAGUGGAAUUUCCGGUGUAGCGGUGAAAUGCGUAGAUAUCGGGAGGAACACCUGUGGCGAAAGCGGCUCUCUGGACCACAACUGACGCUGAGGCGCGGAAGCUAGGGGAGCAAACAGG